AACGAACGCUGGCGGCAGGCUUAACACAUGCAAGUCGAACGCCCUCUUUUAGAGGGAGUGGCAGACGGGUGAGUAACGCGUGGGAAACUACCUAGUGGUACGGAACAACACAGAGAAAUUUGUGCUAAUACCGUAUGUGCCCUCCGGGGGAAAGAUUUAUCGCCAUUAGAUGUGCCCGCGUUUGAUUAGCUAGUUGGUGAGGUAAUGGCUCACCAAGGCGACGAUCAAUAGCUGGUCUGAGAGGAUGAUCAGCCACACUGGGACUGAGACACGGCCCAGACUCCUACGGGAGGCAGCAGUGGGAAUAUUGGACAAUGGGCGCAAGCCUGAUCCAGCCAUGCCGCGUGUGUGAUGAAGGCCCUAGGGUUGUAAAGCACUUUCAACGGUGAAGAUAAUGACGGUAACCGUAGAAGAAGCUCCGGCUAACUUCGUGCCAGCCGCCGCGGUAAU
rnacentral:rRNA from 1 species